rnacentral:rRNA from 1 species
AUACGUAGGGGGCGAGCGUUGUCCGGAAUUACUGGGCGUAAAGGGUGCGUAGGCGGUCUUUUAAGUCAGAUGUGAAAUACCAGGGCUCAACCUUGGGGGUGCAUUUGAAACUGGGGGACUUGAGUGCAGGAGAGGAAAGUGGAAUUCCUAGUGUAGCGGUGAAAUGCGUAGAGAUUAGGAGGAACACCAGUGGCGAAGGCGACUUUCUGGACUGUAACUGACGCUGAGGCACGAAAGCGUGGGGAGCAAACAGGAUUAGAUACCCUGGUAGUCCACGCCGUAAACGAUGGAUACUAGGUGUAGGGGGCAUCGACCCCCUCUGUGCCGGAGUUAACGCAAUAAGUAUCCCGCCUGGGGAGUACGGCCGCAAGGUUGAA